UGAGCGCUCACGUGUUUGUGUCUAUGUACAAGGUUGCUUACUAAAAUUUCUCUGUAUAGAUGCCGAAACAAAAAUAUAAAAAUACCUGUAGCCUGGCAGUGUGUCCAUCAUACCUGCCAAAACCAGACAAAGGCUGGAGAAGAAGGCUGGUUUUGAGGCGGGAGAUCCAUCAUGGGCAAAAACCUCUCAUUCAAACCAGACCCCUGCUGACAUGGUAGAAGCUAUUACAGGCACAAGUAAGGCCCUUUUGCUUGCAGACCAGACCUAUUCGGAUGAGUCCUCUUUGGAGGUAGAAGGCACCUCAAAGACAAACAUCACCUGC